rnacentral:lncRNA from 1 species
AUCUUAAUUUAUAGGUGAAUCAGUGGCUAACCUGGUUAGAAACUGCUGAAGAAGAAGAAUCAGAGGAAGAAGCUGACUAAAGAACCAGCCAAAGCCUUAAAUUGUGCAAAACAUACUGUUGCUAUGAUGUAACUGCAUUUGACCUAACCACUGCGAAAAUUCAUUCCGCUGUAAUGUUUUCACAAUAUUUAAAGCAGAAGCACGUCAGUUAGGAUUUCCUUCUGCAUAAGGUUUUUUUGUAGUGUAAUGUCUUAAUCAUAGUCUACCAUCAAAUAUUUUAGGAGUAUCUUUAAUGUUUAGAUAGUAUAUUAGCAGCAUGCAAUAAUUACAUCAUAAGUUCUCAAGCAGAGGCAGUCUAUUGCAAGGACCUUCUUUGCUGCCAGUUAUCAUAGGCUGUUUUAAGUUAGAAAACUGAAUAGCAACACUGAAUACUGUAGAAAUGCACUUUGCUCAGUAAUACUUGAGUUGUUGCAAUAUUUGAUUAUCCAUUUGGUUGUUACAGAAAAAUUCUUAACUGUAAUUGAUGGUUGUUGCCGUAAUAGUAUAUUGCCUGUAUUUCUACCUCUAGUAAUGGGCUUUAUGUGCUAGAUUUUAAUAUCCUUGAGCCUGGGCAAGUGCACAAGUCUUUUUAAAAGAAACAUGGUUUACUUGCACAAAACUGAUCAGUUUUGAGAGAUCGUUAAUGCCCUUGAAGUGGUUUUUGUGGGUGUGAAACAAAUGGUGAGAAUUUGAAUUGGUCCCUCCUAUUAUAGUAUUGAAAUUAAGUCUACUUAAUUUAUCAAGUCAUGUUCAUGCCCUGAUUUUAUAUACU